UCCCUCCCUCCUCCUCCUCUUCCCUCCCUCAUCUGCCGCCGCCACUCCCUCCCUCCUCCCUCCUCGUCGCCCCUGCCUCCACCCUAGGAGCUCCACCACCUCCCACGCGCUCGUCCUCUCAUCUCCCAUGUCAUCAUUGUCGACCCCUGCAAAGCCGUAGUGGUGCUCUCCUUGCGCCCUCGCCUCUGGUCUCACCAGGCCCUCGAUGCCAGCCUCGUCGGCUUGCCGCCGCGCUCGAUGUUGUGGCCCUGGUUGCGCAUCUCGUCGCGGUCAGGAUUCACCCAUGCGUCGCGCUCACCCUGGGGAACAUGCAAAAGGGUCAAAACCCUAGUCGCCAGCAGUACUCGUCAAUCCCGCGCCCUCUCCGUCUCGUCUCCUCCCUGCUCCCUCCUAUCCCACGCCGCCGCCUCCACCUCAUCUUCUCCCUGCUCCCUCCUCUCCCACACUGCCGCCUCCACCUCACCUCCUCCCCGCUCCCUUCUCUCAAACGUCGCCGCCCUCAAUGCACCAUAAGGGACGCCAUCGAUAGGUCGGGGAUAUGCAGCGACGGAGCUCAGCCAUAGCAGAGCAAAAUCCCACUCGUAACCCUAUUCGCUUGAUUGACAAGAGCAGGGCAACGGAUUGGAUCAAGGGCGCCCUGGCUUGGCCGUCGCUGCCACCUGGAUUCGCUAGCCACUGCAUGGAGUCGCCCUGGCCGUCGCCUCGAGUCACCUCCGUCACUGCCGCGAGUUAGCUCCACUGUUGACACCAAGAAUCCCAUCCCGGCAAGGUAUCCUAUGCCUCCCUUCCAAUCUUCAGAUCUCCAUAUUUGGUGAAUGCGGUGUUUUGGUUUCGUCAGAUUACUAUCUAUAUUUGGGGAUUAGCUACGAAUUGAUGUUUUUAGUUUGAGAGAGGAUACUCGACAAUCGUGAUUCUGAUCUUUUUGUAGAACAGAAUAAUUAACUCGGUCUAUUUCUGGAGAACUGCAGUGUAAUGAUAUAUGCAUGAACGAUCGUAACACUGAAAAUGCAAAAUUUGCAGUAUGGUGUAAUGAUGGCCGGGUGUGACUUUUUUGAUGGCAUUGCCCAGUGCAGUUUUCAGAUUUCUACUGAGUGGUACCUUGUUCUGAGAUUUGUUUUUUUUUUGUUGCUAUCUGCGGGAAAAUUCCUAGGGAUUUGAUUUAUGGAGGCAUCACUAUUUGGCGCUGGAUUAUCCAUUUUUGCAGCACCAGCAAUGUUGUUUUUGUUUGGAAUGGCCAAUUCACAAUUUCUAAAUCAGCUAUACUAUACUUCUUGUCAGAUUACAUUAUCUUGCUUGGUUUCAGUCUAUAUGUAGCACAAAAAUAGAUGACAUGGUUGGUUUGUAGGUUACAUUAAGGAACGCCACCAUAAGGAAAAGGGCAUUGCACUUCUUUGUUUAUAUUUGAUCUGUUCCUAUUCGGUUUGCUGUAGUACUUAAUUGCUACACCAUUUCAAUUUUCUUGCCAUUUGCUUCUUGCUGUUUCAUUGUAUUCAGUUAUGAUAUAUUUUUCAACUGUACAAGCACUUGGGGAAGUCAGGAAAAUUGAACCAAAGACAAACACUUUUACUGGUGAUGUUGGGGCUUCUUUUAACUGAGAUGUGAAAGAUGCAUCUUAUUCCCUGAGAUAUAUUGCCUUUAAUUUCUUGAUUUUUUCCCUAACAUGCUAAUAUAGAGCUAGAUAUGCAUGAUCAUCAUACACAUUACAGUCAAUUAUCCAUUGGAAUCUUUUGUCCAUAGAGGUGAUUUUGUUUGGACCAUUAGUCUAGGUAGUGACAUUUUGAUCGAUAAGGCACAAGUUUAUUUUCUUUUUCACUAGGGCUACACUAAAGUAAGCAUCAUCAUCAGUGAAAAGAAGGCAUACAAAUCAUGAAGUUUUUGCCUUCUGUGUGCCUUGUUUAGUUGUCACUUAUUUAUUUCUAGGAAGUUAUUCAAUUCUCAUCGAGCUUUCCUUAUGCUUUCCAUUGCUAAAGAAGAAAUUUAAAUACACAAUAUUUUUAAUAUUUGAGGAGGCGAGAGGGGAUGAAAAGGGGUUGUAAGGUCGUACUUUGGUGCGUCUCUGGCCAACGAUGGCUGGAUCCAUCUGACGCUCUUCCAAGCAGAGCAGUGCAGAUUUGCUGACUGAGCAGUGGAGAAACAUGGUUCUACGAAUGUGCUAAAACUGAUGGAUUUAACUACAGGUAUUUGCAUUAUCAUUCUACAGGUAUUGCCGUAUUACAUUAUCCAGCUGUAAGUCAGUUCUAAACUCUAAGCCCCAUGUUGUAAGUAUGUUCUAAACUCUAAGCCCCAUAUCAAUCUGAUGGAAGAUUGGGCCAUUUAAUUUGAACCAAAAAGGGUAGUAUGCUCUCAGUUGCUUGAAUCUGUCCAGACCUGAAAAUUAGAUAUACUUUGAAAGCUUGAUGUAUGAGUAGGAGACAGAUGAUAAAGUUGUACCUCUUGUAGCAGAUUAUUAGUUGCUUACCGGCUUCUAUGCGGUGACCAAAUGAGCAAGCAGUGUUAGUUGAUAAAGGUGUAGGCAAUCAACCUUUGUUGCUUCAUUUUUUGGUUUGUGAUGUGGAGCAUCCUACGGUCAUCACCAUGUCAAAAGUCUGUUUGGCAAGUGACACGUGCGACCUCUACUUCUCAUACAUAAAGGUGAAUCUUCUCCUUUACACGUGUUCACUUGACCCCUUUGAGGAUUGUAUACUACUUGACACUCCACUCGUGUGCAUGCAUAGGUAUUGUCGGAACGCUACGGAUGACGAGGAGAGGUGCAAGCGCCAAGGAACACCUACACCAUCCGCGAGGGAAGCAUGGAAGCGAAGAUGGAGGAAGACGGAGCUGCGGAGUCCCCAGAGGUCGGACGAUCGAUGUGCCACCGGACGUCCGACAACCUACGGCCACCGGACGACCGGACUACGCCGGACGUUCGACACCUGGAACUCCAGCCAGCCCAAGAGCCCUGCCGACGAGAUCUACAGCGACUGGACGACCGACCGAGACUGGACGUUUGACACCUCCCAGGCAUGGACGACCGAGCGCCACCGGACGACCGGUGCCAUGGCGAUAGAAUGAUAUUUAUGGAAGUCCGAAGAUUUCCGGAUGUUCGGGCCGUCCCGAGCCUCCGGACGUCAGACAUCGACCGGACGUCCGACGCAUGUGUGCGCAGCCGCGGGCCUUUGGCCUUGUAUCCCUCUCCCACUUACCUCUUCGUGGCUUAGACUAUAAAUGGACCACCUCCACCUCCUUUCUAGGGUUAGCAAAUAUGAUAGCUCAUUCUUAGGUGAGUUUUGCUCCUACCUCCUCCUCUUGAGAGAGAGAGACCACUCCCAUGGAGUUCAAGACCUCGAUGUGAGAAGAUCCUGUGGGAUAUCGUCAAGACUCCCUCGUGGGAAGAUCUCUCUAGGAUACCAUCAAGACCUUCUCUUGAAGAUGAACUCUACCUUGUAUCUUUCCUUUUGUUGUUCAUGUACCUUUGUGGAUCUUGUGUGUUUGAUUGUCUAGUGGAUGUGUAAUUGGACUUGUUCUUGAGUGUUU